rnacentral:misc_RNA from 1 species
CAAUCGAAUGAUGCGCCUUUACAAAGUGUAUCAUCGCCUUUCUAUCCUCUCGCUCCUCCCUUUCUCUCCUUCACCUCCUUUCUCUUCUCUCAAGCUCUGCCGAUUCACACCCGGCGGCCUGAGAACUCAUCACUCUACAAACUCCGCCAGAUUAAGGCCGAUCAUGACCGCUGCCACUUCUAGGCUUGGCAAUCUCGUUUCUGGAACCUUUGAAGAUGGUGGCGGUGGCGGUGGCUUUAAUGGCUCUGUUAAUUCUUCAACUAAUACCGCUACUGAAGAUGACGCAUUGGGUGGUAAGUAUCAACUUCCUCCAGCGGAGAUUAAAGAUAUUGUUGAUGCACCCCCUGUCCCGGCAUUGUCGUUUUCACCACAAAGAGACAAAAUACUAUUUCUCAAGAGGAGAUCUUUACCUCCAUUAACAGAACUAGCUAAGCCAGAGGAAAAACUGGCUGGUAUGCGAAUUGAUGGAAAAUGCAAUACUAG